AAAAAAAAAAAAAAAAAAAAAAAGAAAACCAAACUCUGAAAAAUUGAAACUGACGUUAAAACUUCUCUUUCAUAUUUUUAAGUUCUAACCCUAACUCCCUUAGCCCAAACUGAUUCUCUCAGCCUCCCUCAAUCUCAACUUCUCAACGCGGCUGUCUCAACUCGCUCCGGCCACCGCCCACUGCCGACACCUCCCUCAUUCUCUCAGGCGAUGCACACCGAUAAUAUCUGGGAGUGAAGGAAGUCAAGGAACCACGGAUUCUUAUUCUUGCAAUAUGGAGAGCUCUCAAUCCAAACGGUCUGCUUCUUUUUCUGAACAAACGUCACAGCCACUUUCUGAAAAGGAUAUGGAAGAAUUGCAAUCUACUUUGCCUCCUGAUAAGAAGCUAAAAGCGGGGCGGGAAUAUAUAUGGAACAGAAAAAGUAAGAGGAAAGCUGAGUAUUGAAAAUAUUACUUAGAGUACGUCGAGAAUGGAAAACUACGAGCUGAAUGUAAGUUCUGUCCUAAAACUUUUGCUGCUGAUGGUAAUCUUAAUGGUUCAAAAAAUGUUAAAAACCAUGCAGAAUCAUGUCUCGGUAAUCCUAUUAAUAUAGAAAAAGAAAAGGGCAAAGAAAAGCAAACUAAAUUGUAUUUUGAUCAAGAACAUGAGAGUAGUGAAUUAAAGUGUGGGAGUAGGAUUAUUAACUUGAAUGAUGUUAGAGAGGCAUUGAUUCACAUGAUUAUUGUUGAUGAGUUACCAUUUAAGCAUGUGGAAAAACCCGGUUUUAGGCACUUUGUGCAAGUUGCAUGUCCACAAUUUCACAUUCCAUCUCGUGUUACCAUUGCUCGUGAUUGUUUAAAGUUGUAUUAUAGUGAAAAAGAGAAAUUGAGAGAAAUGUUUAAGACAUGUCAAAGAAUUUAUGUGACCACUGAUACUUGGACUUCAAUACAAAGAAUUAAUUAUAUGUGUCUUACAGCUCAUUUCAUUGAUAA